rnacentral:lncRNA from 1 species
GUCACCAUCCCCCAUCUCUCUAGAACCUUCACCUUCUGACUCACCAUCACCUUCACCCUCUAAGUCACCAUUGUCAUCACUGCCACCACCCCCAGCCUCACCAGCAGCUUCGCCUUCUGACUCACCAUCCCCGGUCUCAUCACCAUCUCCACCAUCUAACUCACCAUCACCAUUAUCGCCACCAUCCCCUGUCUCACCAGCACCUGCACCCUCUAACUCACCAUCCCCAUCACCUCCACCACCCUCGAUAUCACCAGCACCUUCACUCUCUAACACACCACCACCACCACCACCACCUCCAGUUUCAUCACCACCACCACCACUGGUUUCAUCACCACCGCCACCACCACCUCCAGUUUCACCACCACCACCACCACUGGUUUCAUCACCACCGCCACCACCACCUCCAGUUUCACCACCACCUAGAAACUGUCCCAAUCUGCGCUUUUGCACCAAUAUUUUGGGCGGGAUAAAUAUUCCUGGGUUUCCAGCAACAACCAGGG